CCUACGGGUGGCAGCAGUGGGGAAUAUUGGGCAAUGGGCGAAAGCCUGACCCAGCAACGCCGCGUGAAGGAAGAAGGCCUUCGGGUUGUAAACUUCUUUUGACAGGGAAGAGCAGAAGACGGUACCUGUCGAAUAAGCCACGGCUAACUACGUGCCAGCAGACGCGGUAAUACGUAGGUGGCAAGCGUUGUCCGGAUUUACUGGGUGUAAAGGGCGUGUAGUCGGGCUGACAAGUCAGAUGUGAAAUCCGGGGGCUCAACCCCCGAACUGCAUUUGAAACUGUUGGUCUUGAGUGUCGGAGAGGCAGGCGGAAUUCCUGGUGUAGCGGUGAAAUGCGUAGAUAUUAGGAGGAACACCAGUGGCGAAGGCGGCCUGCUGGACGACAACUGACGGUGAGGCGCGAAAGCGUGGGUAGCAAACAGGAUUAGAUACCCUAGUAGUC
rnacentral:rRNA from 1 species